rnacentral:rRNA from 1 species
AUUGAACGCUGGCGGCAUGCCUUACACAUGCAAGUCGAACGGCAGCACGGGAGCAAUCCUGGUGGCGAGUGGCGAACGGGUGAGUAAUAUAUCGGGACGUGCCCGGUCGUGGGGGAUAACGUAGCGAAAGCUACACUAAUACCGCAUACGAUCUACGGAUGAAAGCGGGGGAUCGCAAGACCUCGCGCGAUUGGAGCGGCCGAUAUCAGAUUAGGUAGUUGGUGAGGUAAAGGCUCACCAAGCCGACGAUCUGUAGCUGGUCUGAGAGGACGACCAGCCACACUGGGACUGAGACACGGCCCAGACUCCUACGGGAGGCAGCAGUGGGGAAUUUUGGACAAUGGGCGCAAGCCUGAUCCAGCAAUGCCGCGUGCAGGAUGAAGGCCUUCGGGUUGUAAACUGCUUUUGUACGGAACGAAACGGUGAGCUCUAAUACAGUUUGCUAAUGACGGUACCGUAAGAAUAAGCACCGGCUAACUACGUG